rnacentral:rRNA from 1 species
GACGAACGCUGGCGGCGUGCUUAACACAUGCAAGUCGAACGGAAAGGCCCUGCUUUUGUGGGGUGCUCGAGUGGCGAACGGGUGAGUAACACGUGAGUAACCUGCCCUUGACUUUGGGAUAACUUCAGGAAACUGGGGCUAAUACCGGAUAGGAGCCCCUGCUGCAUGGUGGGGGUUGGAAAGUUUCGGCGGUUGGGGAUGGACUCGCGGCUUAUCAGCUUGUUGGUGGGGUAGUGGCUUACCAAGGCUUUGACGGGUAGCCGGCCUGAGAGGGUGACCGGCCACAUUGGGACUGCGAUACGGCCCAGACUCCUACGGGAGGCAGCAGUGGGGAAUAUUGCACAGUGGGCGGAAGCCUGAUGCAGCAACGCCGCGUGCGGGAUGACGGCCUUCGGGUUGUAAACCGCUUUCGCCUGUGACGAAGCGUGAGUGACGGUAAUGGGUAAAGAAGCACCGGCUAACUACGUG